GACAGAGGUGCCGAGCGUUAGGCGGAAUCACUGGGCUUAAAGCGUGUGUAGGCGGAAGCGUAAGUGCCUUGUGAAAUCCCACGGCUCAACCGUGGAACUGCUGGGCAUACUGCGUUUCUUGAGCCAAUCAGGGGUCGUCGGAACAAACGGUGGAGCGGUGAAAUGCGUAGAUAUCGAGAGGAACACCUGCGGCGAAGGCGGGUUGCUGGGCUGAUACUGACGCUGAGGCGCGAAAGCCAGGGGAGCGAACGGG
rnacentral:rRNA from 1 species